UACGAAGGUUGCAAGCGUUACUCGGAAUUACUAGGCGUAAAGGGCAGGUAGGUGGUUUGGUAAGUCUAUUGUGAAAGCUCCCGGCUCAACUGGGAGAGGCCAAUGGAUACUGCCAAGCUUGAGUAUAGGAGAGGUUACUGGAAUUCCCGGUGUAGCGGUGAAAUGCGCAGAUAUCGGGAGGAACACCAAUGGCGAAAGCGGCUCACUGGACCAUAACUGACGCUGAGGCGCGAAAGCUAGGGGAGCAAACAGG
rnacentral:rRNA from 1 species